rnacentral:misc_RNA from 1 species
GAGUUCUUGUUGUUUUUUUUUUUUGCUAGCGUUAUCAUGUGUUACAUUUUGUGUCAAUGGGUGACUCACUUUAUUUGGUUAUCUUGUUGAAUUUACAGUUUUUUUCCUGAAGACAAUAAAUGUUGCAAGUCUUGACAUAUUGGACCAAUUACUAGAAGUUUUCAGUUUCAAAGGAUCAAAAAGCUAUAUCAGUGACACUUGUGAAAUAAUUACAUGAUAAUUUGGCACGAGUUAGAAUGUUUUAGAGAAAAUGCUGAUGAGUUGCUUAUGUUUGAUGAUGUUUUGUGCUCACCAGUGACCAUAUCUUUUUAUCUUUCUAGAAUGAUGUGAGAAACAAUUCACU